GUUUCCAGUGGAACAACUGGGAACUGCCAAGAAGGGGGUCUGUUUAUAAAAGAGCAUCAACUCGCUUAGGCCAUGACGUUCACCCAUCCCUUCCUCUGGAGCAACCGCUGCCCUGUGAAUAAGAGCCGAUGGAGGAGAUCUCAGCUUCGGUGGUGAUGACAGAACAUGAUUUCGGUUCUGCUCCUAAACCAGGUGCACUGGAUGCUGCUGCUGUAAACAUACAGCAAUUGGAAGAAACAGUCAAGGCGCUGAUGAGAGCUGUCACAGCUGAAAGUGCAUUUUCACAGAUUCUGUGUCUCAGACGCGGACAUCCUUUUUUACACCAGAUUCACGUCAAGAGAUGUUUUUUGUGACUUCUGGGAGGUUAUUCAACCAUCUGCCUCCAUGUUGGUUUAUUGGUCGAAAGCUCAGAAAAUAAACAAACAUUUGAACCCAUUUCUCCCAGUCCAACGUGUAGACUGCAACUGGUUGAGUUUUUUCUCUUCUGCUGCCGGGUUGCUGCAGGCCUGCAAGAGAAGGUGCUGGCUGACAUGUUUCAGAGCUGACUGAACGAAGUGGACUGCUGGAUUUACUGGAGCCAGGAGAUGGCUGCAUGGCAGACAAGGGUUUCACCAUCGAGAAGCCACUAGCUGAUCGUGGGGCAACGCUGAUUAUACCACCCUUCAAGAUGACAGUUCACUGAAGAGGAUGCUCUGAAAACACAAGCAAUCGCUCGACUUCGAAUCCUCGUAGAAAGAGCAAUAGGCAGAGUCAAGGAAUACCGCAUCUGGGAACGCACUGUCCUUUCACCUUGUCUGCGACAGUCAAUCAGCUGUGGACCGUCUGCUGUGUGAUGACCAACUUCCAGGGACCACUUGAUUUAAAAGGCUACAUCCCUGUUGAAUAGUGUUUCUACUCAAACAUGUACCUAUAAAUAUUAAAUAUAAUAUAUAAAUAUUAAAACGAGAGGCACUGAACAUUU